GGGGGAUAUUGCACAAUGGAGGAAACUCUGAUGCAGCGACGCCGCGUGAGGGAAGACGGUCUUCGGAUUGUAAACCUCUGUCUUUGGGGACGAUAAUGACGGUACCCAAGGAGGAAGCUCCGGCUAACUACGUGCCAGCAGCCGCGGUAAUACGUAGGGAGCGAGCGUUGUCCGGAAUUACUGGGUGUAAAGGGAGCGUAGGCGGGGUCUCAAGUCGAAUGUUAAAUCUACCGGCUCAACUGGUAGCUGCGUUCGAAACUGGGGCUCUUGAGUGAAGUAGAGGCAGGCGGAAUUCCCAGUGUAGCGGUGAAAUGCGUAGAGAUUGGGAGGAACACCAGUGGCGAAGGCGACUAACUGGACUGUAACUGACGCUGAGGCGCGAAAGUGUGGGGAGCAAACAGGAUUAGAUACCCUGGUAGUCCACGCUGUAAACGAUGAAUACUAGGUGUGGGGGGACUGACCCCUUCCGUGCCGCAGUUAACACAAUAAGUAUUCCACCUGGGGAGUACGAUCGCAAGAUUGAAACUCAAAGGAAUUGACGGGGGCCCGCACAAGCAGUGGAUUAUGUGGUUUAAUUCGACGCAACGCGAAGAACCUUACCGGGAUUUGACAUCCUGCUAACGAAGUAGAGAUACAUUAGGUGCCCUUCGGGGAAAGCAGAGACAGGUGGUGCAUGGUUGUCGUCAGCUCGUGUCGUGAGAUGUUGGGUUAAGUCCCGCAACGAGCGCAACCCCUAUUGUUAGUUGCUACGCAAGAGCACUCUAGCGAGACUGCCGUUGACAAAACGGAGGAAGGCGGGGACGACGUCAAAUCAUCAUGCCCCUUAUGUCCCGGGCUACACACGUAAUACAAUGGCGGUCAACAGAGGGAAGCAAAGCCGCGAGGUGGAGCAAAUCCCCAAAAGCCGUCUCAGUUCGGAUUGCAGUCUGAAACCCGACUGCAUGAAGUUGGAAUUGCUAGUAAUCGCGGAUCAGCAUGCCGCGGUGAAUACGUUCCCG
rnacentral:rRNA from 1 species